rnacentral:lncRNA from 1 species
CUGGCGGCCAUCUUAGAUGUUGGAUCGGCUACAAAGUAACACCACUUGGUCAGCACCUCAUAAGGAACAUUCAUACUAUGUUUGGUUUCAUUCCAUUCAGUGGUUCUCUAAAAGAAGUCAUUUGUAUAAAAUUCCCAUAGGGUCCUAUGUUAAACUAAGUCCCUUGCUGGUGGCCAUCUUGGAUGACGGAUCGGCUACAAAGUAACAACACUUGGUCAGCUACUCAUAAGGAACGUUCAUGCUAUGUUUGGUUUCAUUCCAUUCAGUGGUUCUCUAAAAGAAGACAUUUGUAUGUAUUUCCCAUUGGGUCCUAUGUUAAACUAAGUCCCCCACUGGCGGCCAUCUUGGAUGAUUGAUUGGCUACAAAGUAACUACACUUGGUCAUCACCUCAUAAGGAACAUUCAUACUAUGUUUGGUUUCAUUCCAUUCAGUGUUUCUCUAUAAGAAGUCAUUUGUAUGAAUUUCCCAUAGGGUCCUAUGUUAAACUAAGUCCCCCGCUGGCAACCAUCUUGGAUGACGGAUCGGCUACAAAGUAACAACACUUGGUCAGCUCCUCAUAAGGAACAUUCAUGCUAUGUUUGGUUUCAUUCAAUUCAGUGGUUCUCUAAAAGAAGACAUUUGUAUGUAUUUCCCAUUGGGUCCUAUGUUAAACUAAGUCCCCCACUGGCGGCCAUCUUGGAUGAUGGAUCGGCUACACAGUAACAACACUUGGUCAUCACCUCAUAGGGCAC